AGAUGUAGAUGGAACCAAAGUCCAGAAGUUACGCGUCACCCUUGCUCUACAGCCAAACAUGCAGGACUCUAGUAACCCGCGAAAUGAUGGGAUAGCGUUGCAAAUCCUUAAAAGAGUCUUAACGAAAUCCUGGCUGACAUUGACUUCUCCACUGCAACCAUCGAGUUCAUUGUCUCCUAAACCUUGCCAUGGAGGCCUGUGGCACCUGAGCCAGCCAUUAUCAUCACCAGCACUUCCAUGAGCUACAAGCUGGACCCACUGCAGUCCUCCUGACACACUGAAAUCAGAGCCUGCACACAGAGCAGCAGAUGCUUCAAUGUAAAGGUCAUUUCCAGGUCCUUGACAGGCGUGCAUCUGGGCCAGAUCCAUGGCAAUAACCUUCAGGUUGAGGCUAGAGGGCUUCAGAUGGGCAGCUUCGAAUGACAGGAGCAAGGCACAAGAGGCCGGAAAGGGAGGGUGACAUUUUCAGCAUCUAUAAGAUCAACUUUAGAAACAUUUGGGGGUUGACAAAUUCCCAUCAAGCUCUGUGGAUCUUGUACAACUGCUCACCACCGGCUUCUCAUCAGCACAUGAUUGGUGCAGGGUUCUGAGGAUGAUUUUGAGAUGUUCCCUGAUGUGGUCUUGUGAGGAGAUUUCAUGACAGAUGGCAGGAAGCUUCGUGGAGAGAUUUCUGAAGACACUCCUGAGCUCCCAACACCGGGCAACUCUCUUCCAGAGGAUAGUGGGGUGGAGGGUAGAAGAGAGGCAAAGUCAGCUAUGUGUUCCAAGAUUACUGAAGCAGGAUUCUGGCCUUCCUGAUAAGAACAUGACCAGAUCCAGCUGGUUUGCAACAAGAUGAACUUCAGUGCUGAGCUUUCACCAAGUUUUUCUCACUACAAUCUCAUUGUAAUACUAAAAUCUCCACCCAAGAUGGAGGUUAUCUGCCAUUUUCUGUACAUGUGUUACCAGAAAGGGGUCCUGAUCCAGACCCCAAAAGAGGGUUCUUGGAUCUCACGCAACAAAGAGUUCGGGGCGAGUCCAUAGAGUAAAGUGAAAGCAAGUUCAUCAAGAAAGCAAAGGAAUAAAGAAUGCCUACUCCAUAGGCAGAGCAGUGGCUUUGGCUGCUCAGCUGCUUGUACUUGUUACUUCUUGAGUAUAUGCUAAACAAGGGAUUGAUUACUCCUUGUUUAGCAGUUUUCUGGGAAAGGAGUGGGCAAUUCCCAGAACUGAGGGUUCCUCCCCUUUUUAGACCAUAUAGGGUGACUUCCUGAUGUUGCCAUGGCAUUUGUAAACUGUCAUGGCGCUAGUGGGAGUGUCUUUUAGCAUGCUAAUGCAUGAGCAGUGAGGAUGACCCGAGGUCAUUUUUGUUACCAUCUUGGUUUUGGUGGGUUUUGGCUGGUUUUGGCCGGCUUCUUUACCACUUCUUUUUAUCAGCAAGGUCUUUGUGACCUGUACUUAGUGCCGACUUCCUGUCUCAUCCUGUGAGUAAGAAUGCCUAAUCUCUCAGGAAUGCAGCCCAGUAGGUCUCAACCUUAUUUUACCCAGCCCCCAUUCAAGAUGGAGUGACUCUGGUUCAAAUGCCUCUGACACAUGUGCCUCAUGUUUGGGCAUGAGACCUCACUGUGUAGGUGCAGAGAAGACCCUGCCUAAACAUUGCCUACACGUUGCUCCUUUUUCCUGCCUCAACUUCCUUAAAAUGACAAGAGCAGAGCCCUUUUGGGAGCUAACAUCAGGACUCCUUUUCUGUACUCUGCUCCGUUGUGCUGCUAGAGCCACAAGCCUAUUAAACUUUGCCUGAAAUAAAUUCCUAUUUGCGCUGGUGUUAAUUUUUACUUAUGAGUGAGCCAAGAACUCAGGCCAGAGUUGCGGUAACACCACCAGAAGAGGUCUCCGCUUGUCAGACUUGAGGGAUAUCAUCAAUGAGCCUCUGAGCUAAUGGUGUAAACCAAAAAUAAAAUUCUAAGCCCCCCGCCAGCCAAACCAUCUGAAUGGACUUCCUCCUCAGCCAGGGUGCUCUUAAAAUUUAACCUGAGAGACUGGUUCAGGUCAUGAUGGGAAGUAGGGGUUGGACAUGCCUCAUUAUACCUCUCCAGCAUUAACAUCAACAUAAACCCUAAGUCUAAGAAAUUUUUACAACCUAUUCUCUCUGAAGCUGACUACCUUGGAGGCUUCAUCUGUUUCAUAAAAUUUUGGUCUCCACAACCUCUUACUUCAACCCAGAUAUUUCCUUUCUAUUGAUCCCAGGUCUUUAGAUAAACUUAACCAAUUGUCAACCAAAAAAUUUUUAAAUCUGCCUAUAAACUGGAAGCUCCGCACUCCGCUCCCCUCCCCUCCCCGCCCUUCGAGUUGUCCUGCCUUUCUGGACAGAACCAAUGUAUUUCUUAAAUGUACUUGAAGUCUCAUGUCUCCCUAAAAUGUAUAAAACCCAGCUGCUCCCUGACCACCUUGGGUACAUGUUUUCAGGGUCUCCUGAGGGCUGUGUCAUGGGUUAUAGUCACUCAAAUUUGGCUUAGAAUAAAUCUCUCCAAAUAUUUUACAAAGUUUGACUCUUUUCUUCGAUAACGGAAACACAUGAUGCCUAGAUAGGGAGUGAACUAAGUGUCUCCUAAGGUCACUGCCAGGUGGGACAGCUGCAGAGUGUCCUGCACAGCACCUUGCAGACCUCCCAUGGCUGCCUGCUCUGUAGGGCCUCAGGAGGGCUGCAUGGCAUGCUGCAGGCCUAGGCCCAGCAGGUGUGCAGCCAGAGUGCUGCACUCUCUGCUGGUGACAAAGAA
rnacentral:lncRNA from 10 species